GGUGAUAUGAUACCGGGGAACCUCCCCCAAGCUUGGCAGAAGCCAAGGGGACUGCCCUAUACUCAUGUGUUUAGUUGUCCUUGGCGAUGAUGCCCCUCAGGAUGCCCUUGACUAGAUCUUACUAAAACUUUGUUCAGAGGUGGUGAUGUUAUAUUCUUGGUGAUGAUGCCCCUCAGGAUGCGAUUCUCCUCCUGAAGCUUAUUAUUUUGCUUCCUGAC
rnacentral:lncRNA from 1 species